rnacentral:lncRNA from 1 species
CACAUCCAUGUCACUACCUCUCCCUUUACAAAUGCCACACUAUCAUCUCGUGUUUGUUGGAGGUGAAUAUGUGGAAGGAAAUAAAUUACUGGCAUUGUACAAGUGGCAGUCUUGCUGGUCCUGACAAACUUGCAUCCAGUGUUCUUUCUGUUCCUGUACGAGCAUUUGUGGGACCCACCUGGCACAACCUUCCAACUGAGUGUAUUCUAUGAUUUUAUAUUUGAAAAGACCAUUCAAGAACCUCGUGGACCAUCUUCUUUUUUCAUUCAUGUUCUCACUGGAUUGAUCUAGAUACAGGAGCUGUUGUGGAGAGGGUGACACAAAAGUGAGAGUGCACUACCUGCAGGCAGUUAGCAGAGAGCUGUGAAAAAAAGGGACCACCAAGGUGAAAGAAGAGAUCCUGGAUUAACACUUUUCAGCGUCAGCCUGGAAAGAUUCUUUUCAGGCAAUUACUGUUGCCAGAAAGUAAUUCAAUAUUCUGUAAUUUAAACUGAAACUGAACUACAUUUAUUGCUUGGUAUUGCACAACUCUGAAGAUGCAAGGAAUAGAAGUUAAUUUUGAAGACUCAUCAAAAGGUAAAAUAGAAGAAUACGGCUUGGAAGCUUCAUUCAUUUCCUUUAUUUUUAAAAAUAAAAGUGACAAUAUUUUUCCUUGUAAGGAUUGUCACACCGACAGACACCGAAGUGCAUGGUGUUAUGCAAGAUAUUAAUACUAGAAGGAUCAAACUACCAAUUCAACUCCAUCAUGCGUUAUAGUAAAAUAUUUCAGUAAAAAAAUUACUUGCACGCUGAAAUUAAUAAAUAGCAAUUGAGUGGGAAAAAAAUGAAAGACCUCCAAUCCUCUAACUAUUCUGUAAAAUAUUAAAAAAAAAUAUUAAAAAAAAAAAGAAUAAAGUAACAAGGAUUGACGCUUAAGUAACAAAUAUUACGGCAAGGUAAUAUGUUGGACAGAAGAAAAGAUAAGCAAAUAUUUAAUCCAUGUUGAAGAAACAAGUAUGGUUACAACACUGUUGAGAAAUGUUAAAAUUGUUCAUUUUCAUGAACAGAUCUGAUUACUGAUCAGGUUUCAUAGCUUCAUGAGCUCUUCCACUGGUUUACUAUCCUUAUAAGUAGAUACUGGUCACAAUUUUCUAACCUAAAUCUUCCUUGGAUUAAGAUAAUCC